ensembl:snRNA
GUGUGGCAGGGAAAGAGAGAAGGUUAGCACUCUCCUUUCCAGGGAUGGAAGAGGCUCUCAGUCCUAACAGCAAGCAUGGUUAUGCCAUUGCCAUCUUGUGGCAUGCAGCCAUGAGAGGCU